rnacentral:rRNA from 1 species
UACAGAGGGGGCAAGCGUUGUUCGGAAUUACUGGGCGUAAAGGGCUCGUAGGUGGCCAACUAAGUCAGACGUGAAAUCCCAAGGCUUAACCUUGGAACUGCGUCGGGAUACUGGAUGGCUUGAAUUCGGGAGAGGGAUGCAGAAUUCCAGGUGUAGCGGUGAAAUGCGUAGAUAUCUGGAGGAAUACCGGUGGCGAAGGCGGCAUC